CGAUGAAGGACGUGCUAAUCUGCGAAAAGCGUCGGUAAGGUGAUAUGAACCGUUACAGCCGGCGAUGUCCGAAUGGGGAAACCCAGUGCAAUUCGUUGCACUAUCGUUAACUGAAUACAUAGGUUAACGAGGCGAACCGGGGGAACUGAAACAUCUAAGUACCCCGAGGAAAAGAAAUCAACCGAGAUUCCCCCAGUAGCGGCGAGCGAACGGGGAGCAGCCCAGAGUCUGAAUCAGCUUGUGUGUUAGUGGAACGGUCUGGAAAGUCCGACGGUACAGGGUGAUAGUCCCGUACACCAAAAUGCACAGGCUGUGAACUCGAAGAGUAGGGCGGGACACGUGGUAUCCUGUCUGAAUAUGGGGGGACCAUCCUCCAAGGCUAAAUACUCCUGACUGACCGAUAGUGAACCAGUACCGUGAGGGAAAGGCGAAAAGAACCCCGGCGAGGGGAGUGAAAAAGAACCUGAAACCGUGUACGUACAAGCAGUGGGAGCACCUUCGGGUGUGACUGCGUACCUUUUGUAUAAUGGGUCAGCGACUUAUAUUCUGUAGCAAGGUUAACCGUAUAGGGGAGCCGCAGGGAAACCGAGUCUUAACUGGGCGUUAAGUUGCAGGGUAUAGACCCGAAACCCGGUGAUCUAGCCAUGGGCAGGUUGAAGGUUGGGUAACACUAACUGGAGGACCGAACCGACUAAUGUUGAAAAAUUAGCGGAUGACUUGUGGCUGGGGGUGAAAGGCCAAUCAAACCGGGAGAUAGCUGGUUCUCCCCGAAAGCUAUUUAGGUAGCGCCUCGUGAACUCAUCUUCGGGGGUAGAGCACUGUUUCGGCUAGGGGGUCAUCCCGACUUACCAACCCGAUGCAAACUACGAAUACCGAAGAAUGUUAUCACGGGAGACACACGGCGGGUGCUAACGUCCGUCGUGAAGAGGGAAACAACCCAGACCGCCAGCUAAGGUCCCAAAGUCAUGGUUAAGUGGGAAACGAUGUGGGAAGGCACAGACAGCCAGGAUGUUGGCUUAGAAGCAGCCAUCAUUUAAAGAAAGCGUAAUAGCUCACUGGUCGAGUCGGCCUGCGCGGAAGAUGUAACGGGGCUAAACCAUGCACCGAAGCUGCGGCAGCGACACUAUGUGUUGUUGGGUAGGGGAGCGUUCUGUAAGCCUGCGAAGGUGUGCUGUGAGGCAUGCUGGAGGUAUCAGAAGUGCGAAUGCUGACAUAAGUAACGAUAAAGCGGGUGAAAAGCCCGCUCGCCGGAAGACCAAGGGUUCCUGUCCAACGUUAAUCGGGGCAGGGUGAGUCGACCCCUAAGGCGAGGCCGAAAGGCGUAGUCGAUGGGAAACAGGUUAAUAUUCCUGUACUUGGUGUUACUGCGAAGGGGGGACGGAGAAGGCUAUGUUAGCCGGGCGACGGUUGUCCCGGUUUAAGCAUGUAGGCUGGUUAUCCAGGCAAAUCCGGAUAAUCAAGGCUGAGGUGUGAUGACGAGGCACUACGGUGCUGAAGUAACAAAUGCCCUGCUUCCAGGAAAAGCCUCUAAGCAUCAGGUAACAUCAAAUCGUACCCCAAACCGACACAGGUGGUCAGGUAGAGAAUACCAAGGCGCUUGAGAGAACUCGGGUGAAGGAACUAGGCAAAAUGGUGCCGUAACUUCGGGAGAAGGCACGCUGGUGUGUAGGUGAAGUCCCUGCGGAUGGAGCUGAGACCAGUCGAAGAUACCAGCUGGCUGCAACUGUUUAUUAAAAACACAGCACUGUGCAAACACGAAAGUGGACGUAUACGGUGUGACGCCUGCCCGGUGCCGGAAGGUUAAUUGAUGGGGUUAUCCGUAAGGAGAAGCUCUUGAUCGAAGCCCCGGUAAACGGCGGCCGUAACUAUAACGGUCCUAAGGUAGCGAAAUUCCUUGUCGGGUAAGUUCCGACCUGCACGAAUGGCGUAAUGAUGGCCAGGCUGUCUCCACCCGAGACUCAGUGAAAUUGAACUCGCUGUGAAGAUGCAGUGUACCCGCGGCAAGACGGAAAGACCCCGUGAACCUUUACUAUAGCUUGACACUGAACAUUGAGCCUUGAUGUGUAGGAUAGGUGGGAGGCUUUGAAGCGUGGACGCCAGUCUGCGUGGAGCCAACCUUGAAAUACCACCCUUUAAUGUUUGAUGUUCUAACGUUGGCCCCUGACCGGGGUUGCGGACAGUGUCUGGUGGGUAGUUUGACUGGGGCGGUCUCCUCCCAAAGCGUAACGGAGGAGCACGAAGGUUAGCUAAUCCUGGUCGGACAUCAGGAGGUUAGUGCAAUGGCAUAAGCUAGCUUGACUGCGAGCGUGACGGCGCGAGCAGGUGCGAAAGCAGGUCAUAGUGAUCCGGUGGUUCUGAAUGGAAGGGCCAUCGCUCAACGGAUAAAAGGUACUCCGGGGAUAACAGGCUGAUACCGCCCAAGAGUUCAUAUCGACGGCGGUGUUUGGCACCUCGAUGUCGGCUCAUCACAUCCUGGGGCUGAAGUAGGUCCCAAGGGUAUGGCUGUUCGCCAUUUAAAGUGGUACGCGAGCUGGGUUUAGAACGUCGUGAGACAGUUCGGUCCCUAUCUGCCGUGGGCGCUGGAGAAUUGAGGGGGGCUGCUCCUAGUACGAGAGGACCGGAGUGGACGCAUCACUGGUGUUCGGGUUGUCAUGCCAAUGGCACUGCCCGGUAGCUAAAUGCGGAAGAGAUAAGUGCUGAAAGCAUCUAAGCACGAAACUUGCCCCGAGAUGAGUUCUCCCUGAGACUUUAAGUCUCCUGAAGGAACGUUGAAGACGACGACGUUGAUAGGCCGGGUGUGUAAGCGCAGCGAUGCGUUGAGCUAACCGGUACUAAUGAACCGUGAGGCUUAACCUU
rnacentral:rRNA from 1 species